GGGCGGCCGCGGCCCCAGCCCAGGAGCGAGUCCCGCGCCGCAGCCUCAACCGCGGCGCGGGGUGGGUUCUGGAGGCCCUCGGAGCGCUCCGGCCAGGGACGCGCGUAACCACGCCUUAUACCCAGUUGACGCUAAAGCACGUCUACAGACAUUCCCAUUUGAUCUACUCAACCACUCUCGGAUGCGGGGAGGGCUGAUUGGCUUAGCCAGGAUCCCCCAGCUAGCAGGUGGCACAGCCUGAAGAAGUGCGACCUGGGUCUCCUGGACGCCCCACCCAGGGUUCCGUGCAGCCUCUUGUGCGGACAUUGAGGGAGUUCCUCGCAGGAGCAGGCCCAGCACUGGGCACCCGACGUACUGAGAUGAACGUCUGUCUAAGAGUUCCCGCUCUGGAGAAAUCCUCUCAGUCCAAGAAAAUUUGGGAGACUCUGCUUGCGGUGAGGGAGGGCACAAAGGCAACGAGUCCCAGGUGCCCAGAGCUCAAGUCAGAGCAAAGGGAAUACAAAGUUCCUAGUUCUCUGUUCCCCACUCCGUGGUACUGGAAGAGGUGUCCCGUUGCAUCUGCCGCGUUGGACCCUGGGCAGACCCCCUCCAGCCCCUCCCCUCGAGGCUGUACCUGGUCACAAGCCGGGCAGCGCGGCCGCAGCAGCUCUGCGUGAUGACGGCCGCAGUAGAGACGCCCAUCGUGGUAGAAGUAGAUGAGGUUUAUCAGGGCCUGGCCACAGGCCUGGCAGGCAAAGCAAGCCCGGUGCCAGCAGCGCUGCUCUCCUGCCCGAGCUGUGAACACUCCGUACUCCCCUGGCCUCAGCCGCUCCCUGCACUGCGGGGUGCGGGUGCUGCGCUGGUCAGAGGCCACACCACCCUCCUACCUUCUCUCCUGGCUCUUCCAUCCCAGCCUCAACCUAACUGUUCUCCCCAUAUUCUGGCAAGCCCACCUCCACUGCAGGCUCCACGAAGAACCCCUAAAUUUGGUUUCCCUUUUUCCUAAGCUUUGCCAAACUGUCAAUCCCCAAACCCCUUUUCCCCCUCCAGAGUCCCAGAAGCCAGCCCCUUCUGAAGAAGUGAGAGGGCAAAGAGGAGGAAGGGGAAUAUUGGGGGGAGGGUGCUACAUACCUUUUCACAGGUGCAUUCUUCAAGCUUGGGAGGUACUAGGCGGGCCACCCCCUGUCCCAGGGCCUCCCGCCUCCGCUGGGCACAGAAGAGCCGCAGCUCAGCCAGCUCCUCCUCCCCAGGGGCCAGGCAAUAGUGCUCCUGCAGAAACAGAGGUCCACUGUGACCGGGAGAGCCCCAGCAGGCAAGGUUGAAGUUUGACUGGAGAGGGGAGGUUUAGCUGCUGGGUCAAAGGAAGGUUGUGAAACCUCAGGGAGGUGCAGGAGAUAACAGCACAGAAGGGUACUGAGGAGAGGGAAGGAGGGAAAGAACUGGCAUAAGUCCACCUCCGUCUCACUCCCCCCACCCCAGGAAUGGUGAUCGCUCAGGUCCUGACAGCCCUACAGUACUUAGCCCAUCUCCAUAUAUUUAGAUCCUGGCUCCCAAUGAGCUGUAGCUUAAUAUCACUUCCCACUGUAUUUUCCCUAUUUACUCCAUAUUCUCCUGCCUCGCCUCCCCAGCUGAACUGGAAGCCUUUAGACUGGGCACACAGAGGCCCUCAAUAAAUGCUUAACCACCA